rnacentral:rRNA from 1 species
AACGAACGCUGGCGGCACGCCUAACACAUGCAAGUCGCGCGAGAAAGUUCUUCGGAAUGAGUACAGCGGCGCACGGGUGAGUAAUGCAUAGGAACGUACCUAUAGGUGGGGAACAACCAAGCGAAAGCUUGGCUAAUACCGCAUAAUCUCGCAAGAGUAAAGAUGGCCUCUACUUGUAAGCUAUCGCCAAUAGAGCGGCCUAUGCCCCAUUAGCUAGUUGGUAGGGUAAUGGCCUACCAAGGCAACGAUGGGUAGCUGGUCCUGAGAGGACGGACAGCCACACUGGGACUGAGACACGGCCCAGACUCCUACGGGAGGCAGCAGUGGGGAAUAUUGGACAAUGGGCGCAAGCCUGAUCCAGCCAUGCCGCGUGCAGGAUGACGGUCCUAUGGAUUGUAAACUGCUUUUGUACAGGAAGAACACUGGUUCGUGAACCAGCUUGACGGUACUGUAAGAAUAAGGAUCGGCUAACUCCGUGCCAGCAGCCG